UGAAUGACACUGCACCGAAAUCACCACUGCGUUUCAGGUUCCUGGUGGUGCCUGCUUCCUCUUCUAGUUUGUUUAGUCACCGAAUUGGAUUCCUGUUGACCCGUUCGGCGCCUACCUCGGGCCCCGGGCUCCGGGCUCCAUUGAAACACGGGAGGUUCCUGCACGCCCUGUGUGUAAACAGAAACCAGCUGUAACUCCCGAGGUCAGAGCUCACGAACGCGGGCGACUUGUGAGCCAGCGGCGUCCAGGCCCUGCUGCGAAGGCCUCGGCAAAGGUCAGGGUUGCGUCCGCGUGACGUUCCUUCCUGCGCUGUCCCGGCCCUGCUGAGUUGCAGGUAACGGAGGCCUCCCAGGGACACCUUGCAGCAGGUUGCCCAGCAGAGAGCAGCUCUUCUCUGGCCCGCUGAAGAGGUCUGGUGAGUUGAGCCGGCUUCCUCUUUUACUGUGUUGAUGAAUGUAAACUAACUAGCAUGGAGAAUAGCAUGUGCACAAUCCACGAUGACAUUCAAGUGCUAGUCUCCACCACCACCCCCCUUUAAAAAAAUAUACUCAAUUGUCUGCCAUUGCUUCAUUUCCUAGGCUAGAGCACCCUGUGUGUUUGUAGGCACAGAUGUUCCUCCGGGACGCCCACUGACUGAAAGGGUUACAGAGCUAACUUGGCGUGAUUUUGUGUAAACUCCUUCAGUGGUUCACAUGGCAUUUACUGUGUGCUAGCAGUUUUUUCUUACUUUGUU